rnacentral:rRNA from 1 species
UAUGAAGCCGGACUGGGAUAGGGCCUCGCUGCCUUGCCCGUCUGGCGCCAUAUUCACCCAUGUCUUUUUGCGUACUACUUGUUUCCUUGGCGGGUCCGCCCGCCAAUUGGACCUUAUUCAAACCUUUUUUUCAGUUGCAAUCAGCGUCAGCAAAACAAAUGUAAUCAAUUACAACUUUCAACAACGGAUCUCUUGGUUCUGGCAUCGAUGAAGAACGCAGCGAAAUGCGAUAAGUAGUGUGAAUUGCAGAAUUCAGUGAAUCAUCGAAUCUUUGAACGCACAUUGCGCCCUUUGGUAUUCCAAAGGGCAUGCCUGUUCGAGCGUCAUUUGUACCCUCAAGCUUUGCUUGGUGUUGGGCGUCUUGUCUCUCUCCCGAGACUCGCCUUAAAAUCAUUGGCAGCCGGCCUACUGGUUUCGGAGCGCAGCACAUUAUUUGCGCUCUUGUCCAGCCGCGGUCGCGCGUCCAUGAAGCUUNUUUCAACCUUUUGACCUCGGAUCAGGUAGGGAUACGCGCU